rnacentral:misc_RNA from 1 species
UCCUAGCCCAGAUUGCAGCAUUUGUCUGAGCUCAUUUUUUAUAUUUCGGCGGCGGCUUUGCCGCCGCCGCCGAAAUAUAAAAAUAGCGAGUGCGGAAAGCUGGAAAUUGC